AGCUUGCUCUGUGGGAUAAAAGGCGAACGGGUGAGUAACACGUGAGCAACCUGCCCCUGACUCUGGGAUAAGCGCUGGAAACGGCGUCUAAUACUGGAUAUGUGACGUGACCGCAUGGUCUGCGUUUGGAAAGAUUUUUCGGUUGGGGAUGGGCUCGCGGCCUAUCAGCUUGUUGGUGAGGUAAUGGCUCACCAAGGCGUCGACGGGUAGCCGGCCUGAGAGGGUGACCGGCCACACUGGGACUGAGACACGGCCCAGACUCCUACGGGAGGCAGCAGUGGGGAAUAUUGCACAAUGGGCGCAAGCCUGAUGCAGCAACGCCGCGUGAGGGAUGACGGCCUUCGGGUUGUAAACCUCUUUUAGCAGGGAAGAAGCGAAAGUGACGGUACCUGCAGAAAAAGCGCCGGCUAACUACGUGCCAGCAGCCGCGGUAAUACGUAGGGCGCAAGCGUUAUCCGGAAUUAUUGGGCGUAAAGAGCUCGUAGGCGGUUUGUCGCGUCUGCUGUGAAAUCCCGAGGCUCAACCUCGGGCCUGCAGUGGGUACGGGCAGACUAGAGUGCGGUAGGGGAGAUUGGAAUUCCUGGUGUAGCGGUGGAAUGCGCAGAUAUCAGGAGGAACACCGAUGGCGAAGGCAGAUCUCUGGGCCGUAACUGACGCUGAGGAGCGAAAGGGUGGGGAGCAACAGGCUUAGAUACCCUGGUAGUCCACCCCGUAAACGUUGGGAACUAGUUGUGGGGUCCAUUCCACGGAUUCCGUGACGCAGCUAACGCAUUAAGUUCCCCGCCUGGGGAGUACGGCCGCAAGGCUAAAACUCAAAGGAAUUGACGGGGACCCGCACAAGCGGCGGAGCAUGCGGAUUAAUUCGAUGCAACGCGAAGAACCUUACCAAUGCUUGACAUAUACGAGAACGGGCCAGAAAUGGUCAACUCUUGGACACUCGUAAACAGGUGGUGCAUGGUUGUCGUCAGCUCGUGUCGUGAGAUCUUGGGAUGAGUAC
rnacentral:rRNA from 1 species